rnacentral:lncRNA from 1 species
AAAAAGAGAAAAUUAAGGUAUUGUUUGGUUCGAGUAUGAGUAAGAACUGUCUAUUUCAGGAAUAGGUAUAAAUUCAGGUAUAAGCAAGAAUUAGAUCAAUUUUGCGUUUGGAUGAAAAUUAAGUUGUUAUCGGAAAUAAAAAAAAAUAGCGUUUUGAUAGAGAAGAUAAAAUAAGAAGGAUAAUGGGUACUUAUAAAUAAAAAAUAGUGAUAUUACCCUUUGAUUAUAUUUGAAUUUGAAUUUGAAUUUUUAAAUUUUCUAUUUAUAUUUUUAAAAUUU